UGGGGAAUUUUGGACAAUGGGGGAAACCCUGAUCCAGCCAUCCCGCGUGUGCGAUGAAGGCCUUCGGGUUGUAAAGUACUUUUGGCAGGAAAGAAACGUCAUGGGUUAAUACCCUGUGAAACUGACGGUACCUGCAGAAUAAGCACCGGCUAACUACGUGCCAGCAGCCGCGGUAAUACGGAGGGUGCAAGCGUUAAUCGGAAUUACUGGGCGUAAAGCGUGAGCAGGCGGUUCGGAAAGAAAGAUGUGAAAUCCCAGAGCUCAACUUUGGAACUGCAUUUUUAACUACCGGGCUAGAGUGUGUCAGAGGGAGGUGGAAUUCCUCGUGUAGCAGUGAAAUGCGUAGAUAUGCGGAGGAACACCGAUGGCGAAGGCAGCCUCCUGGGAUAACACUGACGCUCAUGCACGAAAGCGUGGGUAGCAAACAGG
rnacentral:rRNA from 1 species